CCCCCCCCGGCCAUUGCUCCUGGCGGCGCGGCAGGAGAACGAGCCCGGUGGCGGCAGCGGCCUGAUCCGCAGCCCUCCUUCUGGCCGCGCCGUGCUCCUCCGGCCGCGGUUCCUGCCCCGACCGGCCCUCUCCGGCGGCCGAUCGGGAGCACGAGCUCCACGGCCUCCCUCGUCGGCCUCGAGCUCCGUGGCGGCUCGGCGGCGACGGCGGGCUCAGCCGGCCUCCCGCCUCCGUCCUCCUCACUUUGCUCGGCGGCUCCCCCUGGGCGUGCCUCCCUGCCACGCCACCUCGCCGCGCUUCCCUGCUGCGCCCCAGCCGUACGUCCUUGUGCACCUCCUCGCCGCGUCUCUCUCGCGGCCGCGCGGCGAGCGGGCGGUCGCCGCGCCACGCCGUUCUGUAGCGGAUUUCGUGGCGGCACGCGUGGCGCUUGAGUGGGCGCCGGCCACACUACUGCUCCUCCAACUACGGCUCUCCACAUCCCGCUCCAUGCUCCUCCGACUCCUGGCCAUGGGGUCUGCCAGGCACCAGAUCCGGCCGCCGCAGACCCACAUCCUGCGGCACGGGCGCACGGUCAGGCAGUUUGGUGUGGCAGCCCCCCACAGCGGUGAUGGAGCUUGGAAACCAUGGCCACGGCAGCCAAGGGCGUGCGACACAGGGAGCAGGCGACGAGCAAACAGCUGGGAGGGCGACGCGGCGAGCGAGACUGCCAGAACUGCUCCUGUGACCGGCGUCCGCAUCUCCCCUCAUCAUCCGCCCGCGACGCCUGCAGCGCCUGUGUCCAGGUUCUCAGCCUCCAUUCAAGCUCUGCAUCAUGGAGACAACGAUGCCAGGAAAAGGUCCACGCAUAGCAUCAGCUUCUGAUUACUGGUGACCUCUUCUCUUUUGGUCCUCUGCUCUUUUGAUACCCGAUUCAGAUUCUGUGUUCUGAUUUUUUUGAUUUGGCCCAAAUGAUAGCAAUUAGCGACUGUAUAUUUUGUAUGCUUGUCUGACCAGUUAAAGAGGUGUAACCAAUUUUGCGAGUAGAGUGCAAACUGUCUUUGUGAUUACGCUUCUGAUGCUUGACAAUGUAGGUUCACCAAGAACAUGAACAUGGACCCUUGGAAAAACAAGCUUGUGUGAAGGAUAUGUGCAAUAAUUAAAAAUGUGUUAACCAAUGUCGAAAAACCUCCUGCAUAUUGUGCAUAAGUUACUUCUGUCAACCCUAAUUUUUUUUAUCAAAACUUCAAAUAGUAAUAAGUAACUCUUUUAGUCUAACCAUGUCAUUUCCUAAACAAUAUUCCUUCAACAGGUCAACAGCAGAUCCUAUGAGAACCCAAUAGUAGCAAGACCAACUGAAGCUCCACUAACUAGCCAUCAAACAAGCUACGGUACGUGCACAGUCAUUCCUUUACCAUGAAAUGAAUAUUGUUUCCCCUCCUAACUGUGUAUUUCCGAUUAGAUAAAAAAAAACUAAUUAGGAAACACUUAAUGGUAUGCUGUAUGCUUACUCUGAGCCAACUACAACCUCCCUUUGUUGCUAUUGAAUGUCCCAUCAAUUCAUGAUGCUUUAAGAUGUCUACAAACUUCACUUUUCAUAGACUUUACUAAACAACUCCUGCUUUAAUACUUAUUACUGCACGCAUUAGUCUGAUGGCUAAAACAAAUUCCACAGAAUACUAACCGAGAAUUUUAAAAAAUAAAGAGACAGAGAACCAUAAUACAGUCUUCCAUUUCUACAAAUAAUUUAAAGUAUACAGCACUGAAAGUAUACAGCACUGAUAAAACAAUUAAUCAGUUUCCCUUUUGCAGCAACAUUUUUAUCUGUCUAUAAAUGUAUAUAUGUAAUUUGUCUUAACAAGGGGCUUUCCUAUAACUAUAUCUACAAUUUUUCUUAUAGUGUACAAUUCUUGUGAGGUUUACAAUUAGUAAUAUACAUACAUAUUGUCCAUUACUAACUACGGUGCUCCUCAAUGGCUGACAGGUUGGCUUUCCCUAAUCUCUCCUCUGUUGUUGCCUUUUAGAAUUUUACCACUGUUUAGAUAGAAGUUUUGAUGCUCCCUGUGGAUAUUUGAUUUAUCAUUGCGCCAACUCAUGAAAGGAAUCCUCAUGCUAUUACUUUUUCUCCUGAACAAACUAAUUAAGUUGGUCUAUUAGGUUCUUAGAUUUCCUGUCACUAAACAGUAUGUAUAUCUCUUGCAGGUCAUUUCGACAUCGUUUAAAUAUUUUCUCUAUUUUGAAUAGUGAUAUUUGCACCUGUUUCAAUGAUCCUGAGUUAUCCAUCUCUUGAAGGCAUAUGAUACAAUGACAGUAAGCUGAGUAGGUUACAUUAGUAUCUAGAUAAAAAAAUGUGGUUCCUAUCUAUUCUAGGCAAUAAUAUUGAAUGGCAUGUUUUAAUUAAAUACUCAAAAUACAGAGUAAACAUGCUACCGAUCGAGUAGAUGGCAGCAACAUUGCUUUGCCUGUGAGAUAAUCUUUCAAUAUUAAUUAUAAUGCAACAAUGGUAUUUUUACCUCUUAUGUCCGCAGGUCACCUAUUUUUCCUCCUGAUCUUGCAAGUGACAGCUUACUGCUGCCUUGAGAAUGGUAGCUUUGUUGUUCUACAAGCUUACACUGAUAAGGAUAAGGAUGAAUGUUCUGCACUCUAAGUUGGGCUCCAGAUCAUGUUAAUGGCUCACCGCUGCCGGUAGCAGCAUCAAACAAUAGGAUCAUUCGGUCCAUCAAUUAUGCUAAUGAUAAGUUAACUAAGGAUGAAGAAGAUCUGCAGAAACAUCAUCAGACAGUCUGCUGAUUGGGUUUUUUAAAGUGUCAAUUCUGAUAUAUCUCACUUUCCUUUUCUGAAUUUGGAUUCUUCAAAUAACACCAAUUUGCAGUUUCAAAGGUUGCAGUCCGCGGAGUGAUGAUUCCUACUAGAAAUUUACACGUCCUAUACAUCAGAUCGCCAGUGUCUGGUUCAUGCUUGGACCAUUAAUUAUGAUACUUUUAGUCCUGUCAUAAUUACAGUUUGAUCAUAUGAACAUUUGUAUAUUGAUCUGUUGAUGCUUUCCCAGCAGGAACUUUUCAUUAUUUGCAUGAUUCAACCUUCCUUCAUCCUGCAGAAGCUGAAAGUUUUUUAA